ACGCCAACAGUUGCCAGCAUGCUCGGAUGAUGGGGACACUGUUGGGACCGCCUCUGCUAAAGAGGAGGAAGGGAAUGGGCAACGGUAGGCCAGCAUGCCCCGAAUUAUCCGGGCUACACGCGGGCUACAAUGGUCAGGACAAUGGGUAUCGACACCGAGAGGUGGAGGCAAUCUCCUAAACCUGUCCUUAGUUCGGAUUGUGGGCUGCAACUCGCCCACAUGAAGCUGGAAUCCGUAGUAAUCGCGUUUCAAAAUAGCGCGGUGAAUAUGUCCCUGCUCCUU
rnacentral:rRNA from 1 species